GCCAAUGUGGUAUAGUGGUUUGAGCGUUGGACUAAGAUUCUGAUGACCAGGGUUCAAAUCCCCAAUCAGCCA
rnacentral:tRNA from 1 species